rnacentral:lncRNA from 1 species
GAGGUAUAGGAAAAAAAGAAAAACAUCAAUAGGCACAAGUGAUUUUGGUCUGGUCUGGUCUGGUCUGGUCUGGUCUGGUCUCUCUUUGCAGCAUCUGUUUUUGUUUUUAACAGGUGGUUGAGUUUCAUGAUCAUCCGUUCUAUGUUGGAGUUCAGUUUCAUCCAGAGUUUAAGUCAAGACCCACUAGACCUUCUCCUCUGUUUCUAGGCAAGUCUUGUUCGUUUCAAUGACAUUUUUGUCAGACAGACAUCUUUAAAACUCACUAGAUUUGUUGUAAACUGUAAUGGGAAUUUUACAGGGUUUAUAAUGGCUGCGAGGAAGCUUCUUCAGGCCCAUUUAAGCAAUUGAGUCGAAUCUCAAACUCUUCACUGUCAUUUAUUUACUCUUUUUGACCGACGCUAAUUAGAGAGGAAUACUUCGGGGAACAGGCCAUGUAUAACUGAUGCUACAAGAGGAACAUAAGCCCUUAACCAAAUCAAUCUCUCUACUUUGGUAAAUAGUUUUUCUUUUUUAACGAGGGGGGACACAAAUACAAGUAUCUGUGCACAAAAUUAUUUAUAAGAGAAGAAAAAAAUUAAUGAUAAAUUAAACAAUCAAAAUCUCAUCCACAUGAAUAACCUAACUCUGUUUUUUUUCUUUCUCCCCAAUAAAAAUGAUCCAACCCGUCGGCAAACCACACAUUAAAAUAAACAAAAAAUAUUCCCACAUCUCUCAUUUUGUGUAACCGGUUUGGAUUAACCGCCCUAAGCCAAACCCAUUUUACCGGCAAGGGUUUUCCAUCUUAUACAACAAAAGCUACCUUUGAUUUUCUUCAAAAACCGAACCAAGCACAAUAUAUAUCUCCAGAUACUACCAGUACCAAGCACAAUAUAUCUCCAAAUACCAAGUCCUUUAGUCGCCAGACAGACCGUCACCAAUAUAUUUAGAUAACAACACACUAAUUAGAUGUGUUAAUAGUAGUAAUACCUAAAUACUGACUCAAUUUGGAAGACAAAGGAGUAAGUUUGUUUUGUUUCAUAGUUAUAUUUAAUUGUAAAUUAAAAUAAAGCAUCAUCGACCGUUGAUGGUAGUGAAAGUAACUUGAUUGAUUGAUGCAGAUUGAGUGUGCCCAAUGGAUUGAAUCGCUCGACCCACUGAAGACGAUGAAGCAGCUGGAUCAGCGAGAAGUCUGGCGUAGUAGUAGUUAGGCUCUUGUGGGACAGGAAUAUCGGCUGUCCUGCUAUUUAGCAUUACCACCAACACCUCGGUGCUUGGUCUAUUCUCAGCUUCAUCUUGAACACAACAUAGACCGAUCUGUGUGCAUCUUAAAACUUCCUCUUCCACUAAUGAAUCGUCUUUGAAGUUAGGAUCAACUAGGUCGAGACCGUUGCCCUCAUUCCAUCUUCUCCACACCUGUUACAUAAAAUUAUAUCGAUCAGUGCUUCUUUUUUAGAAAAGAUAUCAAAAUUUGUAUUUGGUGUAUGAUUGAUUGAUUGAUUGAUUGAUUCUUACAAAGCUGAGAAGGCUGUCGCCAGGGUGUGAGGUACAAAACUUGGCGUUUUGUUGUCCGGUACAAGGAUCAUUACCCCAAGGCUGAAGACAUCGCUUUUCUCCGAAAUUGUAUUAGACAUGGCGUAUUCCUCGGACAUGUACCCACUGUGAUUGUAAUGAGUAAAUUAAAAAAGACUGAAUGAGAAUAUGAGAGAUCAUAUAUAUAUAUGAGAACUCUUCUAAUUCUAUUUUUUAAGGGAAAAAUAUUGUUGUUUCGAUGUCUUACUAAGUUCCCAUAAGUGUCUGCGUAUGUGCUUCCGUCGUUCCACUUCCCAAAAUCUUUGCCAUCCCAAAGUCAGAUAUCUUUGAAGUCAGAUUUUUAUCCAGCAGAAUGUUGCUGGGCUUCAAGUCCCUGUGGAUUAUGGGACUGUCUCUAAAAUUGUGCAGAUACGAAAGUCCUCUUGUAAUCUCACGGAUGAUACGGAACCGAUUUUCCCAGUUCAGUAAUCGGCUUCGAGCCUCAUCUACACACAAACCAAAUCGAAUUAGAAAAGAGGUUGAAAAACAAAAUAUAAAAGGAAAUGGAGGAGGGAGGCCACUGACUGAAGAGAUAGCGAUUCAAGCUAGAGUUUUCUAAAAACUCGUACACUAAGAUCCUCUCAUCCCCUUCGCAGCAACAUCCUUGAAGCCGGACAAGGUUUUUGUGCAAAACGUUUAAAAUUGUUCGAACCUCGUUCUUGAACUCUUCUAUCCUUUGAGACGAAUCUGUGGAUAACCUUUUAACCGCCGUUCCGUUUGGUAAUAAUGGCUGUAACCACAUUAUUAUACAAAUACAAUAUAGAGUUUGAUUAACAUAGAGAUUCUUACCUUAUACACGAUACCGAAACCACCUCGGCCGAGGAGUAUGUUGGAAGGAGAAAAAUUAUUUGUCGCCUCCACAAUCAUUGCAAAGUCCAUGAAGGUAAAUCGAUCUUCUCCGGUUAUUUCGCUAAUCAUAAUUUCUGUUUGAUUUGGUCCUAGGCAUAUAUAAAAUAAUAAUGACUAAUAUAAGAAUGCUACCAAAUCAAACAGAAAUCGAAACUGAUCAGAUUGUUCUACCUUGAGGAGGAGGAGUUGGUGCUGCGCUUCUUUUCAUUCGUUUCCAGAAGCAGAAGCAAAAGAGGAUGAAUAUUACGAUUCCACCGACGAUGAUGGUUUAUGAUCCAAGGCUUCAAAGACUUUUCUGGACUUGUUUCUUUAGCAGGUUCUGGAACAAGACAUAUAUAUAUCGGAUGAAGAUCAUGAGGCAGUAGUUAAGUUGAAAUUUCAUGUAAUAUAUAUAUAGUUCUUAUCUUAUAUAUGUGACGACUAACCAAGAUCCUUUGCUGCCACUCUGACAUAAAGUUGUUGACCACCAAAACCAGAGUACUUUUGCAUAUCGUCGAGUUCACCGGUCCAAUACACACAAUAGGAAUUGUUUAGCUUUUCCACAAGGGCAAAUGCAGUGCAGGCACAAUCACUGUGGCAGAAUUGCUUACAAGUCUCAAAGCCAUCUAACUGGUAUUGAUCAAAAUGUCUUUCCGGCAGCUUCAUGUUUUUUAGUAGCAGAUACUUACUGUCAUUGCAAUUGAAAGCUCUACUCCUCACACACCCACCUGAAGGCUCCGUCUUUUGAUGGAAACCUUGAAUACAGCUACACAUGGGUGCCUUGUUGGUGGUGGAACAGAAGCUAUAGGAUCCACACGUCCUGUAAUUUCCUGCAACAUCACGCAAAUACCCGUGGCAGUCAUCUUUGGAAAGCGACCAAGAAGCUUUCGAUACACGGGAUUUCAAAUCCCAAGUAUAUACGCCAAUGCUCUCCUCUUGGUUAGCUUCCAAGGUUAGCCUCGAGUGGUUCCCAAGGUAGUUCGUCAUUACCAGCAAGGUUUCAUUCUCUAUUUCCAGUAUCGGUGGCAUAUCACCAAAACUGUAUCCAUUCCACACAAUGCUCCAGUUCUUCGCUGACAAUGGAUGUCCUAGAGAAAUCGCAACAACCGCGCUGUAGAAGUCAUCUUCAAAUCUCAACGAAAGGUACCCACUUGACGGAUCAGUUUGAUUUUUCCAGGGUUUAAGGACUUUUCGGCUUCCUGUUUUGGGAUCAUAUCCUAGCCUCAUGUUUGGUAACAGUGUGUCUGUUGGAUUGUCGAAGCUCUGCCACAAGUAUCCUUUUUUUUGCGUCGUUGGAGUCCCUCACGACGAGGUUGCCGGUAUCUUGGAGUUGUACUACCAUCUGUGAGUUCACAUCUCCUCCUCCUGUCAGAUUCGCCGACCACACAGUUUUAUUACCUUGACCGAUCAAGACGAGGUCGUUGUUGGAGAACGUGAGGGUUCCCAUUGGUGUGGUGAGAGCGUUGUCUCUGUUGGCGACCCAUAAACAGGUUCUUUUAGGGUCUUGAGCUAACCAAAUCCCCAGAUACCACCUAGAAAUAAACACAUUUGGCUGCACAAACCCUAACUCGAAGACGUUUGUCGGAGACGGAAACGUCUCGUUCCUUUCAAGCUUCAAGAUAAACGAUUCAACACAGGAAGACUGUAGAAGAAGAAGAAGAAGAACAACAAGUGAAUAAACGCAGAACAUCGAAUCACUCUUCAUCUCUCAAUUCUCUCAAAAUUCAGGAGCUGGGAAUUUCUGCUGGGAAUUUCUCACAAUUAGGAAAGCACUUUUUACUAUAAAUGGUAAUUGGCAUUUCGAUAGGGAUAUCUGAUACUGUUUGAGCCUUUUUUUUUUUUUUUGUUCUUGUUGAUCUUGAUUUUUUGACCGUUGUAUCAAUCCUAUCUCUAGACUUUGUUAACGUUCUUACACACUCUCUCUCUCGUUCAAAUCAUACAGAUCCAUAUUUGAACGCCUGAUGUUGGUACUAUGUCCCCUUUUGAGCAUGGAGAGGUUUUUGUACUCGAUGAUGGUGGAGAGGUUUUCUUCUCACUUUCUCUUGUUUUACACCUUCUUACAUUUGUUCAUAAAACAUCUUGUUGCCAUAGAAUGGCUGCAUUGCAUAUCGCCGAUUCUCUGUCUUCUGUCUAAGGUCGAUCUUGAUUUGGGGAACUAUGAAAGAUUUCUCCAAGUGACACUAACCAAAGACAAUAACUUAACCACUGGUUCCUGGAUGUGGCGUGAGCGGAAUGGUUUUAGCAGCAAGAUACGCUAGAGAGAACAAAAUUCCUUAUCGUGGGAUCUGCUUGGGGAUGCAAAUAGCAGUAACUCAGUUUGCCAGAUCUUUAAGAAACUUCUUUCAAACUCUGAAAUACAACUUGCUCUGUUCCAUUUCCCUCCCUAAAACCAAUUUAGCUCUCUUCUUCUUCUUCUUCUUCUUCUAAAUCUAAAUCUAUGACAUUGGUUUCAGGUUUUGGGUUUGGAAAGAGAAAAUAGCACUGAGUUUGAUGCUCAGACACCUGACCCUGUUGUUAUAUUCAUGCCACAAGUAUGUAUUCCGAACAUGAAAACCUAUCAAUGGAGUCCGUUCAUUCUCUCAUUCAUUUUUAUUUUUUUGAAUUACCACAGGGCAAGGACGCAUAUGGGAAGUACAAUGAGAGUAGGAUCCCCAAAAACGCAUUUACGAGUUGAGGUAUGGGACAAAAAAAAAACAUCAAUAGGCAUAAUCGUUUUUGGUCUGGUCUGGUCUCUCUCUGCAUCAUCUGUUUCUGUUUCAACAGGUGAUUGAGCUUCAUGAUCAUCCGUUCUAUGUUGGAUUUCAAUUUCAUCCAGAGUUCAAGUCUAGACCCACUAGACCUUCUCCUCUGUUUCUAGGCAAGUCUUGUUCUUUUCAAAAACACUUUUGUC